UACAGAGGUCCCAAGCGUUGUUCGGAUUCAUUGGGCGUAAAGGGUGCGUAGGCGGCGCGGUAAGUCGGGUGUGAAAUCUCGGAGCUUAACUCCGAAACUGCAUUCGAUACUGCCGUGCUUGAGGACUGGAGAGGAGACUGGAAUUCACGGUGUAGCAGUGAAAUGCGUAGAUAUCGUGAGGAAGACCAGUGGCGAAGGCGGGUCUCUGGACAGUUCCUGACGCUGAGGCACGAAGGUCAGGGGAGCAAACGGG
rnacentral:rRNA from 1 species